ACUGAGCCAAGGAUUUUUCUCUGAGUCUGUACCCAAGGGUUCUGCAACCUGGCCAGAGGAAAACCUUCCUUCAAGCUCACUGGGAAUAUCAUCAAAAAUGUGUAAAUCCCAUUACAAGUUUUUGAAAGCAUCUUGCCAGACCAUGCAUGGUUCUCCUCACGCUUGGGGUUUGGUAAUUGUAACAGCUGGCUGGGAUGGAAGGAUCAGAUGGUUCCAGAAUUAUGGAUUGCCAAUUCGUGUUUAGAUAUGUCAAGUUUCAGCAGAUCACGAGGGNNNNNNNNUUUCUUUGAAAACUUUGCCAUUCUUUGGCAACACUCAGGUUUGCAUUAUUUUUUCUGCAGCCUUGUCAAUUGAGUGUGGGAGCCAACGCCAAGCUGAAUCUGCAUCCAUGGCCAUGGCAGGGCCUGUGCUGUAUAGUGUACACGCAUAGGCAGUGGUCAAGAUGUUAAAGAAAUCUUGGUUGUGUCUGGGAGAAGAAGAAUUUUAGGCACGCAAAUUAAAUUGUACUUU
rnacentral:misc_RNA from 1 species